rfam:Loxodonta africana unplaced genomic scaffold scaffold_5, whole genome shotgun sequence.
GCAUUGGUUGUUCAGUGGUAGAAUCCUUGCCUUCCACGCAGGAGACUCAGGUUCGACUCCCAACCAGUGCA